rnacentral:rRNA from 1 species
UGGGGAAUCUUGCGCAAUGGGCGAAAGCCUGACGCAGCAACGCCGCGUGCGGGAAGAAGGCCUUCGGGUUGUAAACCGCUUUCAGCAGGGACGAAGGCGAGCGGGUUAAUAGCCCGUCAGUUGACUGUACCUGCAGAAGAAGGUCCGGCUAACUACGUGCCAGCAGCCGCGGUAAUACGUAGGGACCGAGCGUUGUCCGGAAUCAUUGGGCGUAAAGAGCGUGUAGGCGGCCCCUUAAGUCCUGCGUGAAAUCCUGCGGCUCAACCGCAGACGGUCGUGGGAAACUGGAGGGCUAGAGUGCGGGAGAGGAGAGUGGAAUUCCCGGUGUAGCGGUGAAAUGCGCAGAUAUCGGGAAGAACACCCGUGGCGAAGGCGGCUCUCUGGAACGCAACUGACGCUGAGACGCGAAAGCGUGGGGAGCAAACAGGAUUAGAUACCCUGGUAGUCCACGCCGUAAACGAUGGACGCUAGGUGUGGGCGGUGUCGACUCCGUCCGUGCCGAAG